rnacentral:rRNA from 1 species
CAAUAGCGUAUAUUAAAGUUGUUGCAGUUAGAACGCUCGUAGUCGGAUUUCGGGGCGGGCCGACCGGUCUGCCGAUGGGUAUGCACUGGUCGGCGCGUCCUUCCUUCCGGGGACCGUCCCUACUCUUAACUGAGCGGGGGCGGGAGACGGGACUUUUACUUUGAAAAAAUCAGAGUGUUUCAAGCAGGCAGCUCGCUCUUGCAUGGAUUAGCAUGGGAUAAUGAAAUAGGACUUUGGUGCUAUUUUGUUGGUUUCGAACACCGAAGUAAUGAUGAGAAGGGACAGUCAGGGGCACUCGUAUUCCGCCGAGAGAGGUGAAAUUCUCAGACCAGCGGAAGACGAACCACUGCGAAAGCAUUUGCCAGGGAUGUUUUCACUGA